AGGUGGGUUCCUAAAAUUCUGGGAUUCAAGCGGAGGUUGGAAAAUAUGUAAAUUAGUAAAAUGUAGUUAUGGUUACAUAAUUAGUUUUAUAUUUUCAAAUAGGUCUAAUAGUAAGCAAAGUAAUAUUCCAAGUAGUUGUAGGUGUAAUUGUUAAGAGUGAUUCUGUUUUAAUAAAAUAGAUUUUAGGGUUUUGGGGAUUGUGAAGGAAAAAAAAAAUGAACUUGCGCCGUGUUCUCGUUGCUCAACUAUGGAAGAGGGCCUGUUCAACAGUAGCUGGUCCGCCGUCGGUUGUCGUUGAGACCCCUGUUGCGCUAGGU
rnacentral:lncRNA from 1 species